AUUGAACGCUGGCGGAAUACUUUACACAUGCAAGUCGAACGGUAGAGGGGGCAACCCCUUGAGAGUGGCGAACGGGUGAGUAAUAUAUCGGAACGUGCCCAGUCGUGGGGGAUAACGUAGCGAAAGUUACGCUAAUACCGCAUACGAUCUAAGGAUGAAAGCGGGGGAUCGCAAGACCUCGCGCGAUUGGAGCGGCCGAUAUCAGAUUAGGUAGUUGGUGGGGUAAAGGCUCACCAAGCCAACGAUCUGUAGCUGGUCUGAGAGGACGACCAGCCACACUGGAACUGAGACACGGUCCAGACUCCUACGGGAGGCAGCAGUGGGGAAUUUUGGACAAUGGACGAAAGUCUGAUCCAGCCAUUCCGCGUGCAGGAUGAAGGCCCUCGGGUUGUAAACUGCUUUUGUACGGAACGAAAAGGUCUCUAUUAAUACUAGGGGCUCAUGACGGUACCGUAAGAAUAAGCACCGGCUAACUACGUG
rnacentral:rRNA from 1 species